GACGAACGCUGGCGGCGUGCUUAACACAUGCAAGUCGAACGGAAAGGCCCUGCUUGCCGGGUACUCGAGUGGCGAACGGGUGAGUAACACGUGGGUGAUCUGCCCUGCACUUCGGGAUAAGCCUGGGAAACUGGGUCUAAUACCGGAUAGGAGCCAUUUUUAGUGUGAUGGUUGGAAAGUUUUUUCGGUGUAGGGUGAGCUCGCGGCCUAUCAGCUUGUUGGUGGGGUAAUGGCCUACCAAGGCGGCGACGGGUAGCCGGCCUGAGAGGGUGGACGGCCACAGUGGGACUGAGAUACGGCCCAGACUCCUACGGGAGGCAGCAGUGGGGAAUAUUGCACAAUGGGCGCAAGCCUGAUGCAGCGACGCCGCGUGGGGGAUGACGGACUUCGGGUUGUAAACUCCUUUCGCUAGGGACGAAGCUUUUUGUGACGGUACCUAGAGAAGAAGCACCGGCUAACUACGUG
rnacentral:rRNA from 1 species